rnacentral:rRNA from 1 species
CGGGGAGCACCACAACAGGUGGAGCCUGCGGUUUAAUCGGACUCAACGCCGGGAAACUCACCAGAUAAGACAGCUGAAUGAUAGUCGGGCUGAAGACUCUACUUGACUAGCUGAGAGGAGGUGCAUGGCCGUCGUCAGUUCGUACUGUGAAGCAUCCUGUUAAGUCAGGCAACGAGCGAGACCCACGCCAACAGUUGCCAGCUCGUCCUCCGGGAUGGUGGGGACACUGUUGGGACCGCCUCUGCUAAAGAGGAGGAAGGAAUGGGCAACGGUGGGUCAGCAUGCCCCGAAUUAUCUGGGCUACACGCGGGCUACAAUGGGUGGGACAAUGGGUAUCGACACCGAAAGGUGAAGGCAAUCUCCUAAACCCAUCCGUAGUUCGGAUUGUGGGCUGCAACUCGCCCACAUGAAGCUGGAAUCUGUAGUAAUCGUGUCUCAAAAUGGCACGGUGAAUAUGUCCCUGCUCCUU